AAGGUGUUGCCAGAUGACCUUCUUCAAACGUCGACACUGCAGGAAUUGAGUAUUGGGGGAUGUCCUAUUCUAGAAGACUGGCAUAAGAUAUCUCACAUUCCCCACAUCGAGUUUUAAAUUCUCGAACGGUUGCAAUUACUAUAACCCGCCGGUAAUUUCUCCUCCUCCUCUGUUUUGCUUCAUUGUUACUUGUAAUGAAAUUAAUAAUAAUAAUGAUAAUAAUUAAAUUUUGAAUUAAAUUUCUAUAUUUUGCCAAUGUCUCAUAGGAAUGUGCAAUAUUUUCUAAUAUUUUGAUUUUUGUAUUGAAUAUAACUAUUUACUUCAGUGUACGAUAAUUUGUUACGUGAAACUUCUUGAGAGACUGAAUUUCUGGGGUACUUUGUAGUAAUGUUGAAAACUAAGUGAUGGCUGGGUCUGCUCUGUUUCAGUUGAGGAUGGAUUGCUGCCUGGAAGACAUGCUGAUUAUUAUUGCAUGAUAUUAAGGUGCUGAGAUCAUCAUUUCUAUCUUGUUUCUUUCUUUGAACGGUUUAUCCUCUAUAAGCAUAUGGAAUUAUGUUAGUAUUAUCACUUCUUCACCCAAUUUUCACUGUUGGUUGUAAUAACCAUUUCAGGUUCUCAAAAGCUACAAAGCAAAGCAUCUUUGGGCUGAUCAUAUAUUUCAAUUGACGAAGGAAUUCGAUGUUGGCACUAUUAUGCAGGUAACCAGAGUUGAUAAUUUGUACAAAUUUGCAUUGUCAGAAUACCCUUCAUAUUCACCGUGUUUCUUUGUGUAGGUAUGUAGAGUAUCAUCUUCAAGGGUUGUAAGAGCCUUUGCAGUAAAUUUAGCUGCUAGUGCAAUUGCUCAUUCAUCGAAGUACAAUUUUGGAUUUUCAAGGUUUGUAUGCUCAGUUGUAAUUAAAAUGCUUAGUCACUUAUUCCUAAUCUUUCUGAUUUUCAAGUUAUUUUAGGUCCAUAAACAGUUUUCACACAUGUUUCAAUGCUUCUUGUAAUGACAAUUUCAUAUCUUGCAUCUCUAAUGUGCAUCAUGUUUGAAACAGCUUUCGCGGUAAAGUCUU
rnacentral:lncRNA from 1 species